UAAUUCUUACACCAAUCUACUCCAAAAGUCUAUGCGCAGGUCCAUGUCCCAUCAAACCAAUCUUCAAGAAAGGAUAAAGUGAUACUAUGACUGCUGGAUUAUACCAUCUUAGCUACAUGCCGCCAUUUUGUUAAUUAAAGAAGCAUGUGCUCCAAUAUUUGGGUGUGGUCGCGCAUGCUCAGAUCAGCAGUUCUAAUUAAUCGGAUGUAAAAUUUAAAAAUGAAAGAGUCAAGGUAACCUUCAGCAAUUAAAAGAACACUCUUCUUAUCUGCCCAAGUCUUACUGUGUUGUAUAUCAUCUAUAAUUUGUAUUUGUGAUAUAAUACUAACUAAUAAUUGUGAA